rnacentral:rRNA from 1 species
UGGCGGCAAUAGCGCGGUGGUCCCACCUGACCCAUGCCGAACUCAGAAGUGAAACGCCGUAGCGCCGAUGGUAGUGUGGGGUCUCCCCAUGCGAGAGUAGGACACUGCCAAGCA